GGAAAAGGCUGAAGAUCAGUGGCAGAGCAUCUGCUUUGGAAGCAGACUGUCCCAGUUUCAAUUCCUGGCACCUCCA